GUGCUUGCUUCGGCAGCACAUAUACUAAAAUUGGAACGAUGCAGAGAAAAUUAGCUUGGCCCCUGUGCAAGGAUGACACACAAAUUCGUGAAGCAUUCCAUAUUUUU
rnacentral:snRNA from 1 species